CAGAUGGUAGAGAGGCGAGACCUGGGUUCAGGGGCCAAGGGCAUCCUUCAGGGCUGCACCCUUUCACCAACAGGGUCCUGCCACCAGCUGGGACCCUCCUGCCUCCCCACGGGUCUUCCUGGGAGAAUCCCACCUGGAGGCUGCAGUAACCUGCUUAGGGCUUGCUUCAUCUUCCCCCAUCUACCUGCUCCUGUCAAGUGUGUGCAAGCUACUUCAGGAACGCAGUGCAGUUGCUUGCCAUGGGACUGACUGUGAAGCAUGGGCAGCUGCUACCAUGCUAAGACUGAAACUAUCCACAGCUCACCAUCCAAACCUGCUGCAGGAGACUCCUGAGUGCCAAAACAGAUCCAUCAGAUUCUUCCAGUAUAAAUGAUGUGUAGGUAGGCAGAGAUUUCUCUUGUUCUUCCUACUCUGCUGUCUUCCCAGAAUCCUCUGCCCCAUUGAUUUUUCUAACAAUUCAAUUUGAUGUAUUUUCAGCCUUACAGCAAAGCUACAAUAGUAUGAGAAACUCCCCCCAAUGCUGUCUUAAUUCAUUUUUACUCAUAUAACAGAAUAUCUGAGACUGGAUAAUUUAUUUGAAAUAUUUGCUUCUCAGGGCUGCACUGUGGCAUAGCAGGUAAAGCUGCCGCCUGCAGUGCUGGCAUCCCAUAUGGGGUGCCAGUUCAAGUCCCGGCUGCUCCACUUCUGAUCCAGCUCUCUGCUAUGGCCUGGGAAAGCAGUGGAAGAUGGCCCAAGUCCUUGGGCCCUGCACCCACAUGGGAGACCCUGAAGAAGCUCCUGGCUCCUGGUUUCAGAUCAGCCCAGCUCUGGCCAUUGUGGCCAACUGGGGAAUGAACCAGUGGAUGGAAGACCUUUCUCUCUCUCUCUCUCUCUCUCUCUCUCUCUCUCUGCCUCUGCCUCUCUGUAACUCUGCCUUUCAAAUAAAUACUGGGGUACCCCAGAGAUUGGCACUGGCAUCUGGUGGGGGCCUUCUUAUGGCAUGGUGACAUGGCAGAGAGCAUUCCAUGGUGACAGGGCUACUAAUGCCAUCAUGGAGCCUCACGCUCCUGAUCUCAUUAAUCUCAAACACCUUCCUAAAGUGCCAAUUCUAACAUAUAAAAUUGGAGAUUAAAUAUCGAACAUGUGAAUUUUAGGGGAUACGCAUAAAUCAUAGCAUGGAUUUUGUUUGGAUUCAUCAAUUGUUUAUAUUUGCAUUUUAUGUAUUACCUCCCCACAUAUGUUAUAUUUUAUGAAUAUUUUAAAGUGAAUCGGGGAUACCAUGCCUUCAACAUUUUAGGAUAUACUCAUAUUUCCUGUGAAAAAGAACACUCUUUUAUAAAACCUCAGGACAUGGAUCAAAAUCAGAAAUUUAACAUUGGGGCCAACAUUGUAAAGUCACCAACUAUGACAAUGGCAUCCCAUAUGGGUGCCAGUUUGAAUCUCGGCUGCACCACUUCCAGUCCAGCUCCCUGCUAAUGGCCUGGGAAAAGCAGCAGAAGAUGGUCCAAGGGCUUGGGCCUCUGUACCAACAUGGGAGCCUGCAAGAAUCCCCCAGCUUUGGUCUAGCCUGGCCCUGGCUGUGUGGCUCUCUGGUGAGUUAACCGGUGCAUGGAAGAUCUCUCUUUGUCUCUGUCUCUGUCUCUCUCCAUCUCUCUGUCUCUGUGGAACUCUGGCAUUCAAAUAAGUAAAUAAAUAUUUUUAAAAAGAAAUUUAACAUUGAUAAAAUGGUAUUCUUGUUCUAAUUUUAUUUACUUAUUUGGAAGGCAAAGUGAUAGAAAGAUCUUUCAUCUGUUGUGUCUGCAACAGCCUGGACUGAGCCAGGUUGAAGCCAAGAGCCAGGAACUCCAUCCAAUUCUGUGUGAGUAGCAGGAACCCAAGCACUUGGGCCGUCCUCUGCUGCCUCCCAGAACAUACAUUUGCAAGAAAUGGUUGGAAACAGAAGUGGGACUUGAAGCCAGGACUCCAAUAUGAAAUGUCUGCAUUCCAAGUGGUGGCUUAACCCAUUGUGCCACAAACACCCACUCUGAUAAAAUGGCUUCCUAAUCCAGAAUUUACACUGACAUUUCAUCAAUUGACUAAUAUUUGUCUUUGCAGCAAUUUCUUCCACAUUUAAGCAUCCAGUACAGAAUCAUGCAGAGCAUUUUAUUUAUUUAUUUAUUUAUUGACAGGCAGAGUGGACAGUGAGAGAGACAGAGAGAAAGGUCUUCUUUGCCAUAGGUUCACCCUCCAAUGGCCGCCACGGCCGGCGCGCUGUGGCUGGCACACUGCGCUGAUCCAAAGGCAGGAGCCAGGUACUUCUCCUGGUCUCCCAUGGGGUGCAGGGCCCAAGCACUUGGGCCAUCCUCCACUGCACUUCCCUGGCCACAGCAGAGAGCUGGCCUGGAAGAGGGGCAACCGGGACAGAAUCCGGCGCCCCGACCGGGACUAGAACCCGGUGUGCCUGCACCGCUAGGCGGAGGAUUAGCCUAGUGAGCCGCAGCGCCGGCUGGUAUUGCAGUCUUUUUUAAGAUUUAUUUAUUUGAAAGGUAGCAUGACAGAGAGAGAUUGGGGACACAGAGAGAUCUUUCGUAUGCUGGUUCAUUCCCCAGAUGGUUACAGCAGCCUGGAUUGGGCCAGCCCACAGCCAGGAGCCUGAAACUCCACUCAGAUCUUUCACAUGGGUGGUAGAGGCCCAAGUACUCAGGUCAUCUUCUCCUGCCUUCCCAGGAACGUUGGUGGGAGAUGGAAUUGGAAGCAGAGCAGCUGAAACUCAAGCUGGCAAAAUGAUAGGGGAAUCCUAGGUUGCCAGCGCUGUGCCAAAAGGCUGGCCCCACAGUAUUGAGUCUUUUUUUUUUUUUUUUUGACAGGCAGAGUGGACAGUGAGAGAGAGAGACAGAGAGAAAGGUCUUCCUUUUUGCCGUUGGUUCACUCUCCAAUGGCUGCUGCAGCCAGCACGCUGCGGCCAGCACAUUGCGCUGAUCCGAAGCCAGGAGCAAGGUACUUAUCCUGGUCUCCCAUGGGGUGCAGGGCCCAAGCACUUGGGCCAUCCUCCACUGCACUCCCUGGCCACAGCAGAGAGCUGGCCUGGAAGAGGGGCAACUGGGACAGAAUCCGGCGCCCCGACUGGGACUAGAACCCGGUGUACCUGCGCCACAAGGCGGAGGAUUAGCCUAUUGAGCCACGGCGCCGGCCAGUAUUGAGUCUUGAUUACAAUUCUUCCAGUAAGAUCUAUUCAGAAACAUUAAGUCCUCCAACCCUAUCCUGCCCUUUCAAUCUGGUGUUGGAUAUUCUAAAUCCUUUGCUUUUUUCAUGUAAAUUUUACAGAGUGCUUAUCACUCCACCAAGCCCAGGGCAGACAUGGCUGAACGUUUUCUUGUCUGCUCCAACCCUCGCUUCACUGAAGCAGAGACGAAAGCCCUGGGAGAGAUGUUGGGAUUGAGAUGUGAGUCAGUCAACCCUGAGGCUUAGCUCUGGGUUGUCCUGCGUAGCUGUACACAGGCAGGCUGGCUUUGGUGACACAAGCCCUGCCCCUGAAAGUGAAGUGGGGGCAUAGGGGCAGGCACCACAGAUUCUCCCUGCAUCCCCUGCACAUGGAAGCCCCAGCCCCAGAACACCUGCCUCGGUUCCUACUCAGCCAUUCCCAGGGUCUCUGCAUUCCUGGGCAGGUGUUUGCCCUGAACAGCUUCAUCCUGUGGCAAGAGGGAAAGGUGGUGGCUGGUGGGAGGACAGGUCCCAGCAAGAGCGGGAAGGAGUCGGCACCACCUGGCCACAGCGGGGUGCGCUGGCUGUGAGGUCCCAGUCUGCAUCCUGCUCACCCUCUCUGUCUCCCUUCCACCACCCUCCUCCACCUCUGCCUCCCCCCUUGUGUGAGGGGAAUGCAGCCAGGGCCCAUGCACUGAGCCUCCCUCUCUCGCCUCCUCCUCCCAGCACCCACCUGGCCCUGCCGCUGGGCUCCUGUAGUCUGCCCAGUGGGUGGGAGCCCCUGCAGACAGGGUUGUGGCUUAGGUGGCUCCAUUCACCCAGAGCGCACACUUGGUGCUUUGGUGAAGGACCUGGAGCUGGUGCUCAGUGUUACUGCAUGAACAGACGAACAAGUGAAUCAAAGUGAAGGAGUGAACAGACAUAACCCCAUGCCUGCUGGAUCCCCUGAAAGACGGCAGGGUGGUAGUGGUGCAGGCAUGGAACCCCACAGCCCUGUGCCUGCUGGAUCCCCUGAAAGACUGCAGGGUGGUGGUGGGGCAGGCAUGGAACCCCACAGCCCCGUGCCUGCUGAUCCCCUGAAAGACGGCAGAGUGGUGGUGGUGCAGACAUAGAACCCCACAGCCCCGUGCCUGCUGAUCCCCUGAAAGACGGCAGAGUGGUGGUGGUGCAGGCAUGGAACCCCACAGCCCCGUGCCUGCUGGAUCCCCUGAAAGACGGCAGGGUGGUGGUGGUGCAGACAUGGAACCCAGAACCGGGAGGCGGAGUCAGUUGCUGGCUGACUGCAGGCUGGGGCUGCCCUCCCAUGCCAGGCCUUAGGCUGCUCACCUGCCCAGGGAGGAGGUGCUACAGCUUAGAGCCCCUGUGUGUGCUUCACUGUGCCUGGGCCCCCAGCCACCUGAAGCUGAUGGGGGGAGAGGAGGGGCUGGGGGACUGGGUCUGGAAGGCGCACAGAGCUGUGUGCCUGGUGGGUUCAGGGGAGGACGGUGGUGUUGGAGAGAGCAUCCUGCAAAGAUUUUCCAAACAGGAAGGCGGGAUUUAAAAUGCAAAGUUCCCAGAAAAUGUACAUGUGCUGUGCACGUGCACACACAGUACAUGCUCACGCCUUGUCUUCCCCAGUCUCUGUCUCCCGUCCACCCACAAGGCGGUUCUUCAGGGAGAAGCUGCCGCCCUGCCCUUACCAGGCCAGCUCUCUGCUGUGGCCAGGGAGUGCAGUGGAGGAUGGCCCAAGUCCUUGGGCCCUGCACCCUCAUGGGAGACCAGGAGAAGCACCUGGCUCCUGGCUUCGGAUCAGCACAGUGCGCCGGCCGCAGCGCUCUGGCUGCAGCAGCCAUUGGAGGGUGAAGCAACGAGAGGAUUUGGGGGUCUCCAGCAGCACCCCCUCCCAGGCUAUGCACCUGGCCCUGCAGGGGCCUCCAACCAGAAUGGGCCGGUCCCUGACCAGUGCUGAGACUGCCCCAGCUGCUGCUCAGCCUCCACACACCCCACGUGGAACUGUUUUCUGCUGCUGCCUUUGACAGAUAAGUAAACUGAGGUUCACAAGGGUGCCCAACAUGCACCGGGCACUUAUAGCCACCUAAUCCUUGGGCUGAGGCUUCCCUGUUCAGCCCUGUUAGAGAGGUCACCUCCUCCAGGAAGCCCUCUUGGCAAACAGCCUGGAAGACCCUGGCCUGAGGCAUGUGGGUGCUGGGGCAGGCAGAGCAGGGAGUCCAGGGCCACCCCAUCUUCUUUGCUGACCGAUGUGAAGGAAGCAGCCAUGCCAGCUCCACGGAGUGGUGGGGAGCAGCAAGUGCAGAGGCCUGGGGCAGGAAGGGGCUGGGAUUGGCAGGACACGCCCACAUGGCUACAGGGUGCAGAGGGGUGGGGGUGGGGGGGGCCAGAGGGACUCUGCAAGGUCGCAUGGGGCUUCCUGUAUGUUUCCCAUCAUGCAGAGCUCCAGGCCACCUGCUCCAGACAUGACUGCCCAUCCCCCAGGUCUCUGAGAUCCCUGUCUCACUCAGCGGCCGGAGAAAGCAUUUUGGCUGCCAGGCCUUCCUGUGGUCCCAGGCCACAGUCAGGACAGCGCCCUCGGGUUUUAGGGUCUGGGACACCAGCAGCCACGGCUGGCUGGGCUGGGCCGUGAGCCUCUGUGGUUUGUAGGUUUCUGCUUCCCCAGCUCCUGUGUCUCCCUGGAGCACAGUGGGGAGACAGAGAGGGACUCCGUGCAGGCCCAGAACUGCCCACUGCGUGGGGCGGGUGCAGCGUCCAGGCUCCCGACCUGGCUGUGCCCGACAUAGGGAACCCAGUUUCUGCCUCACUGAGGCAGGAGACAAUAAUCCGGGUCAGGGACGAGAGACUUGUAAGAGGCCAUAUAGUCAGCGUAUAGGUUUGUGGGCCUCGUGGUUUCUGCCCCCUGGGUCAAAGCAGCCAUGGACAGUACGUGGUGUGGCUCCGUCCCAGUGGUGGUAGGCAGAACUGGGCUACCCCUAUCUAGGUGACCUGGCCAUGGUAUUAACCAGGACACCUGAGAUCGCCAAGCACCAGAAUCCCUGUCCCAGCUGGCUUCAGGCUCAGCCUCCCCUAGGGCAAAAGGGCUUAUUGGGCCAUGAAAGGGAGAAGUGCCACUAGGACUUCAGGCACAGCUGGAUCCAGGAGCUCUAGUGGUUGUAUUGAGACCCAUCACACCCAGGUUUCACGCUUGCCCUGACCACAUGUAUCCCUGUUUCAGCUUCACUGGGUUCAGGCCCUCCUGUCGCGAGGACGACACAGCUGUGAGCAGUGGAAGUCCCAGGCUCACCCCGGACUGGCCAGGCCUGUGGCUCGUGCCCACCUCACAGCAGCACCCUCCCCAGGGUCAAUGUCACCCUGUGGUUUGGCCUCAUGGGACUGGUGCCUCAUCGACUGGGUUUGGGACUCCCCAUGGGGCAGGCACCUAUGUGUACCACAGUAGUCAGAGCAGCCCUGGCACUGGACACCUCGGAAGUCCACGUGGCCCCCAGGUAGACAGUCGGCGCUCUUCCCAGUGUCCCUGCUCCUCCCUGGGUCAUCGCAGCCUCCUCAUACCUCCCAGGCCCACGCACUCCCUGUGGAGCCCACACUGUGCUCCAUCACCCACCAGCCUCCAGCCGCUGCCACCAGAGCCAGGUCCUAGGGCUCCAUGAGCACCCGGGGCCCCCACGGUCUCUCCUCAGCCUGGACUUGCUAGACAGAGUCUGUGUCAACAGGGACGUUCAAAGCUGUGUGACCUACAGCAAAUCCGUCUCUGUGCCCUCAGCCUCCUCACCUGGAACUUGGGGGUCCUAAGAAACCUGGGUCACUUCUAAAGUACAAAAUCCCACAGAAACACGGGUGUCCCUGUACCUCGAGCUACGCCUUCCUCCAGGCUGCAGUCACAAUUCCUGCUCCAGCGGCUCCGCCCCCUCCUCCCACAGGCCCCACCCAGAUAGGCGUGGCAGCCCCAGGUGCCUCACCCACCCUGCUCUGUCUCCUGCACCCACACUUGCCGCUGCCUGAGGGGUUGUCCCAGGCUGUCCCUGCAGGUGCCUGGGCUCGGUGCUGUCCCCAGGUGAUGCCCCCGCUGCUGGGCCAGUGCUAAGGAAUGUCCUCUCUCCCUUUCCAGUGCACCUGUCCCCUGUGGCCAGCCAGGGCCACCCCUUCCUCUGACUGUGUCCUUUUUUUAAUUUUUUAUUUAUUUUUUUAAUUUUUUGACAGGCAGAGUGGACAGUGUGAGAGAGAGACAGAGAGAAAGUUCUUUCUUUGCCUUUUGUUCACUUUCCAAUGGACGCUGUGGCCAGCACACUGCGGCCGGCACACCAUGCUGAUCCGAAGGCAGGAGCCAGGUGCUUAUCCUUGUCUCCCAUGGGGUGCAGGGCCCAAGCACUUGGGCCAUCCUCCACUGCACUCCCUGGCCACAGCAGAGAGCUGGCCUGGAAGAGGGGCAGCCGGGACAGAAUCCAGCGCUCCGACCGGGACUAGAACCUGGUGUUUCGGCGCCGCAAGGCGGAGGAUUAGCCUAGUGAGCCACGGCACCGGGCCUGACUGUGUCUUGAGUCCCAUUCAUUUUCUCCCCAAGCAGUGAACCGCUGUCACCUGUCAGCCUGCAGCCAACAGAGGUCACGUGUGUUUUCCCGUCACCUCAUGGCUGCCAUGGAAGUCCCUGCAGCGCUGUCUCCAUGCAGAGUGGCUUCAAAGCUGUGGUGACCACAGCCAGCGCUGGCUCCUGCCAUCGGAUGGGCUCACGCAGGAGCGUCUGCGCGUCUAGGGCAUGAUGUCCACCCGUAGCGUGUAUUCGUAGCUGUUCUGUCCUCACCUUGUGCGUGGGAUCUCAGCGUUGAGAGCUGGUCCUGAGCAGGGCCAAGCCUCGCAGGAGCACACAGAAGGUCCACGGCACCCAGCUCAGUGAGGUCGGUUAGACGGCAGUAUUCCCCCCAGCCUCUCCUCCACUCACCUCCCCACCUGGCCGCAUGCAGCUAAUGGGACCAGCCACACUCACGCCUGGUCCUUGCCAGCCCUGGCUUGGUGCCUCUUGAAGUACAAAGCAGGUGGCCAUUGGGUCCAGUGGGAACGGGCCCUGCCAUCCGCCCCCCUCUCAGUUCAGCAGGACUGGGGCAGGUCCGUGCAGGUCCCACACCUCCCGCCAAGCACGCAGGGUGGUUCCCUGGGAAGUGCCUGUGGCUCACCCACCUGGGAACGACGAGGACCACAGGAGAAGCCUGGCCUUUGCCUCCCUCUGGUCUCUGCAGGGGAGCUGGCCUAGAACCCACUGCCCCAGCCCCAAGACAGGGCGUGCAGCCUCUGGGACACUCACAGCCUCUCUCGGUCUCCAUGAGCAGCCAGGAGUGCAUGCAGAGGUCUCCUCUGGGACAUGUGGCUUUGGAACACAGCACAGAGGACACUGGUGGGGGCCGGGGGGCCAGGGGAGAGAGAGGGAGAACAUGGGUGUCUGGGCAGUGGGCUGCCUGGGAUGCCAACAUCCUAUAUGGGAAUAUCUGGUCCAGUCCUGGCUGCUCUGCUUCUAAGCCAAGUUCCUGCUAAUGAGCAUCCCAGUGGGGCGCAGGUGAUGGCUCAAGUAAUGGGGUACCUGCCACCCACAUGGGAGACUUGGGUUGAGUUCCAGGCUCCUGGCUUUGGCUUGGCCCAGUCCUGGCUUUUGCUUGUUUUGGGGGAGUGAACUUGUGGUUAGAUGAUGGAUCUCUCUCUGUCUCUGUCUCCCUUCCUGUCUUUCAAGUAGGCUAAGUAACUAGAUAGAUAUAGAUAGAUAGACAGAUACAUAGAUAGACAGGCAUAGAUAGAUGAUAGAAGGAUUUUUUUAAAAAAAGAGUUGGAAGCCCCUGAGUGCCUCAAAGCCUCCCCAUGGCACACGCGCACCACACGCAGUUUGGAAGAAGGCGUGGGUCGGGGCGUGCCGUGACAGAGCAGGGGCUUCUCUGAGGAGCUGCUGAGUGGGACGAGCAGGGGGCACAAGGACCCAGGACUGUGGGGCCAUCCGCACACACAGACAGCAGGGAGCCUGGCUGCCCAUCUGUGCACACUCACAUACACAGCACACUGUUCCCGCUGGGGAGUGAGGAUGAGAGAAUUGCUGCCCUAAGGACUGUGAGCGUUCCCACAGGGGGACCCCUGACCAGCUGGGGUGAUUCUGAGCAUUCUGAAGAGGGGAGGGAGGGAGAAAAGUCCACAGAGGCAGGAGGAGCGGGUGGGAGAGUAAGGGAGGGGACAGGUGGUCCCCUCUUCCUGUACCUGUGAGCAUCUCCCCAGCCGCCAUCAGCCUGGGGCCCAAACGCCGAGAACCAGGUUGGCAGUUUUCUCUCCAGUGGGAUUUCAGUUCCCGUCCUGGUGCCGCCUGCCCCCUUGUCAGGCAGAGCCAGAAAGGACCUCACCGCUGGCCCCGCGCCUGGCCCUGAUUGCCCAUCGUUUCCACAGACGCACUUCCCACUGGGCUUCCCUCUCCCGGAUCUAUUCUAGGAAGUCAACAGCUUCCGCCUGGGAUGAAAACGCCGAGUCCGCGUUUUCUCAUCAAGAAUGGUCCUGGGAUUAGCUGCUCUGCGGAUGGCAAAUAAGGAAAACCGCGCGGGCUCGCGCUGCUCCAGUGCCUGCUCCCACACCUCGGCCCUGGGGGACAGUCGCCCCGGGCCGGUCUGGCCUGCCCACUGACACCAGACCAGGAAGUCCUAGCAUGAACUGCUGCUCUCCCGGAGUCAGCCCCUGGGGUUGGCACUCCAGUUGUCCCCCAACCCGGGCAGCUGGCUUGCCCGCCUCCUGGUGUGCACAUGGGAAAUGCACGUGGUCUUAAUGUCACUGCCCAUGAACCUCCUGAAGCCCCUUCCUAUGGGUCGCCUCCCCUUCCCGCACCUCUGGAACACAUGGGCUGAACGUGACUCCCCCUUCCCCGCCCCAGGAAUGCUCCCAAAAGAGCCCCAAACGAGACCCCUCCAACACCGAGGUAUGGAUGCUAGCCGUGGCACAUCUUCUGGAACAUCCUAGGGUUCAGAUCUGGUUGCAAGCCUCUGCUAGGUCAAGUUCCAUGUCAUUCCACCGUGUUUGGACACAGAGCAGUUUUCCCUGAUCUGGUAAAGCCCCUCAUGCACAUGGAGGGUGGUGGACAGCGUGGUUAAGGAUGUGUGCAUCUGAGCCCCACCUGCAGGGCCCAGAGAACACUCCCACUUCCCUGAGCCUCUGUUCCCACAGGGACGGGCCACCUGUGAACCCUGUGUGCAGUAAGUGAGUUCAUCUACACAGAGGGCUGAGCUUGGACCCGACGUGAGAUGCAGGCGGCUCAAGCCAUCAGGAGCAGGCACCGAGCUGGCAAAGGUGGAGCUGUUCUGGCUGAACCAAGGGUGAUGGGCAGGACUCAGAUUAAAUAAGUGCAUCUCAGAAGGAAACUUUGCAUCAUCAUGGAACUGGAAGACCAGUACGACUUGCCAGAAAUAGGUCUCCAGGGACGUGAACACAAGGGCACACGGCUCGCUCACGGAGCGCCACCCAGGGACUCGGCACUGGCAGAGCAAGGGCACAGGGAGCUGCUCCACUCCGUGCCAGGCCUCCUCGCUGCCCCGGCUGGGAAUGCCGCUCUGCAGGGCCCACCACCCUAGCUCACAGGGGCGCGUGCAAGUUCUCCCUAAGCUUCUAACCCAAGCCCACAGCGGCCUCCGGUUCAAAACGCAACACUUCUGCAUGUUAGGGAGCUCCCAGAAUCCCCAGCACAGUUUGCUGUUUGAGACCACAUGCCAGGUGCAGUCACGGGCUCCCCGUCCCUCGAGACGGGCGCACAGAUGCCCAACAGCCGUGGGGGGCUGGGGAGACCACCUGACCGUCAGAAGGGCCCCUUGCGAACUGGCCUCACACCCCAGCUGGCUUUUGGAUGUAGGAAAAGAAAUUGAGAGCAACAAAGAGAGAGCGGAAUCGACUUCCGAUCAGGACUAUAAGGGCAAAGGUGACAAUUAUGAGCAGGGUUACCUAGGAAACACGAAGGAGGCAAACGGGGAUUUGUACUCCCCGUAGAAGUAAUUUGCAAUCCAACACUGGCUUACUGAGGACAUCACUGAACUCACACAGGUCUCAAUGAACAAAACGGAACUCCCUGGUUUAAAUAACUGACACCACGCUCAGGCGUAGCUGGACCCAGGGUCUCAGCCUGCUGCCCGGCUCUCCUUUCCCUCGGGGUUAUUUCAGGUGGGGCCGGCUCUGGGCAUGGCAGAGGCCCUGGGGGCCUGGCUGAGACCCAGCUCCUGUUGGACAAGAGCUUUAGCAAAAGUCCCAACUGGAGGUCUGCUGUUGAGGCAUUCGUCCGUCCUGUGUGCCCUCACUGAAGCCAGGGUGCGGGCUCUGCUUGCCCUAGGUCACAUGUCCCCUCUCCCACACGUGAAAGUGCAGGUGCCGUGGCCUGAAGCAGCUGAAGCCAGGGUCAGGCAGCAAACACAUCCCUUGCUGCUGCCCGGAGCUGCACGCCACCCCUCCACACACACAAAUGGGGUUCACGCGGCACUUCCUCCAGGAAGCCUUCUCAGCCUGUCCCCCGCUGGCCUGUGUGUGUGCUCCUGGCACAGGGAGCUUGUGGGCAUGUCUGGGAAAGCCUGUCCCCUGCUGGCCCCCAUUCACCUUGUGGUCUGUGGCCCAGGACAGUGCCUGGCUCACAGCUCACAGGACUUUGUGCCCUGCUGCCGGGUGGACACCAUGCUUGUGGGAGGCAGCAUGGAGAGAGAGAAGCUGGUGUGGCCACCGGCAACCAGUGUUUUGCAGGACCCCAGAACAGAUGCAGGGGGUUGGGGUGCGCCACAGUCAGCAAGUGGCAGCCCUGCAGACAGAGAGAUGAGGGGAGAGGCCAGGGCUGGAGAGAAGGCAGCAGGGCCCCAAGUGCAGGGGCCUUUGCAAAACAGGGCAGGCAGCCAGCACAUGGCAAUGGUGGGGGGGUGGUCCUUGAAGGCUGGGCUGGGGUUGGCUGUGGGGGAGGCUGCUGGGGCAGUCCUCAGAUUUCCAGAUCGGGUAGAGUCUGCAGGUGCACUGUGGUGCGCAGUAGGUUAAGCUGCUGCCUGUGAAGCCUACAUCCCAUAUGAGUGCUGGUUCCAGUCCUGGCUGCUCCACCUCCAAUCCAGCUCCCUGCUAAUGUGCCUGGGAAAGCAGUGGAAGACGGCCCAAGUGCUUGGGUCCCUGGGAGACCCGUAUGAAGCUCCUGGCUCAACAGACCUGGCGUUGCGGCCAUCUGGGGAGUGAGCCUGCGGCACGCAGUGGGGUGUUUGGAGAAGGAGAGGGGGUGUCUCGUGCCGGACAUGGCUUAGACUCUCUCUCAGGGACCCCUGGGGAGAAUGUGUUCAUGAGGCAGGGGGAAAGGCAUCCCCCAGUUAUAAAACAAAGAGGGGGACUGGGUCCCACAGGCGUCCUAGGAGCUGGCUCCAGCUCUCUGUGUAGAACUCUGGGAAGCAUUGAGCCAGUGGCCAUCGGUUGGAGCCUCUCCCUGGCGGAGGCAGGGCGGGAGGAGAACUUGCCCUCUGAGGUGUGAGUCCCUGCGGGAGGGGUAGAGGGAGGGCCCCUCCCCAGAGCAGCGGGGCAAAAUGACUGAGCCUCCCUGGUCUCAAAUAAAUCAUCAGGCACACAGCAAACAAAGGGAGCGCUCUGUCUCCAGCCAAGCGCUGGCCCUGUGGCCAGUCCUCUGAGGACAGACAGUGAGCCCCAGGGAGAGGCGCAGCCUGCUUGUCCAGCAUGGCCGCGUCUGAGUGGAGGGCUUCCCCGGGAGCCACACAGGGAGGCAAAUCAGGGCCUCCUCUCGACAGGACCGCAGGUUUGCCGAGAAGUGGGUCCCCGGGAACUCGGGUGAGGGUGGGAGGGUAGAGGGUGAAGACGAGGCAAGUCGCGUUCAUCUGAGCUAAACGAGCCACCUGACGGCCUGGCUGUCCCGUGCACCCUGGGGUUCACACGCCUGGCAGCCCCGGAACGGCAAUGCUGUGUGUUUGCACAUGGCCCAGCAUGCAGCAGGAAGUCAACAGAUGCUUUAGAGUGAAGCCGGUGCAUGCACAGACCUAACUGCCAUUUCUCCCUGUCUGCUCGAGCCAGGAGGGCCACAGGCUGGGGCCUCUGUGUCCCUGGCUGGGGCUGAGUGAGCUCUGGCUGGGGGUUUGCUUUGAGACGGGCACUGGCAUUUCUUGGUUAGGUGACCUUGGGGAUACGUUCUCAUUCCGGCUCGUGGGGAAUGGAGCAGUGAAAUCCCCCACGGUGCCCGGCUCCUCAUCCCUGCUGCUCUGGCUCCCACUUCAGAAGGCGGAGGACUGAGAGAGACCAGGAAGUGACUUGCCCAAGGGCGCAUAGCCAGCAGGAGGCUGGGCCAGGAUCUGCCCCUGUGCUGUGAUGCGCACGCUUGCAGGCCUCGGGGCCUUGCUUCUCCUCUGUGAAGUGAGGAGGCGGGUUUGGGGAACCGAGGAUGGGGUUUAGGGUUGACAGUGAGGCCCCGUGGGUUUGCCUUGCACGCAAGCCUUUGCCGGCACGAGAUGUGCAGGAGCCACAUCAAGUCAAGCACCAGUGUCGGGCGGCUUCUUGCCUGUGCCACAAAGACGCCGUUCCUCUUGCUUUUAGGGGACACAGGCAGAGCGCCAGCCCCACCACUGCAGCCUUGCCGGCAGCCUCUGCCCUCUCUGUGCCGGCAGGCAGGUGGGAGCCCAGGCCGGCCCCUGCGGGCUGGCCCCAGGUGAGCCUCCUUUCCGCUGAUGCCAGCCCCAGCCCUGCCAUUGCCUGGCUCUCCAAACAGGCACUGACUCAUGAGUGUCGGCAGGCCUGUCGCGCUGAGUCAGAGCUGGUCCUUCACUUCAGCCCUGCAGAGCUGCCAGCUGGAGAGCGGGGGGCAGGGCGCAGACGCUGCUGCUCUGGAAACAACCUUGAACUGACUCCAGGUGCAGGCUGCAGCCCCUGCCCCACCCCAGCUGAGAUGCACGGCUCUGUGGUGUGGCGUGUGCCUUGUGCCCACUCCCUGCAUGGGUCAGGCACACAUGGAGGUCAGGCACACCUUUCUGCAGACGGCACCAUUCUAGAAGGAAGAGGGACAGGGUGAGCAGAUGUGGAUCACAAAAUCAGACCUCCUGGGAGAUGCGGCUCAGGGUGCUUUGGGGCCCUGGAGCACCUUCCUCCAUCCCAUAAUCCCCCGCACAUCUGCAGAGCAGAGCCUGUGGCUGGGGAAGGCAGCAACUGAGGUGGGAGCUGUCUGGCACAGGCUCAGAUGUGAACACAAGCGCACGGUGCUUACGGGCAGUCGUUAACACCCCGCAGUGUCAGUCCUAGGACAGCAGCAGGAAGGCCGGUGGCCAUCAGCCUGGCGGGUUGCGGGGGAGCGCCUCACGGAAGUCAUUGCGCUGAGCAUUGACAGGCCCCUGGGAGGCAGCUGGUGUGAUGAUCCUAGAUGGGAGAGAGCUGAGGAGGAGGAGGGCAGUCCCAGAACUUGCUGCUCGAACCCAAGCCCAUCCACACCUGGGCUUCGCUCUCUGCCGCUGCACAGCCCCCAAUGACCUGACGGCCCCAUUGAGGGAGCCGCAGGGUCUACAAAGCACGCCCCCUUCCACUACCACCACCAGGGAGCACUGCCGGCUCCCUGGGGAGCUGAGCGGGACAGGGGGCAGGGAGAUGCACUUGUCCCUAGCUGCUGGACUCGGUUUGGACAGAGGCAUCCAGCAGGUCCCAUGUUGUCUGUGACCUGGGCACCCCACCACCUUGUCCUAACUUUGGGGCAUCUCCCAGCCGGUUGCCUGUGUCUUGAUGUUUGGGAAGCCAUGGAGGCAGCCUGAGGAAGCCAUCAGCUUGCGUACCGUGAUCUGACGUGACACGAAAGCUGCAUCCGAUUCCACGCAAGCUGCCUGUGGCAAAUGACCUUCUAUUUUUACAUUUCUCACAAAUUGGAAAUUUCAAGGAGGCCAGAUCUUGCAGAGCGAUUGGCUGUGGCAUUCCAUGAACUGGAGAUGGGCAGCUCAGUGGAACACACACCGCGUAGGGUGUUGGGGUGCAGGUGGGGGGCUGGCUGGGCCCCUGGCAUGCAAGCCAGGCCAGGCAGUGCAAGAGUUGGUAGCUGCCUGGGACAGUGGCCUGCAGCCCUGCCCACCUGUCGGCUCCCUGGUAUCUGCUGAUCAGUGUCUCCUGCCAGCUCUUGAGUUAGCUGAGCUCUGGCCAGAGGGACAGUAAAGGUCAGAGAUGCCCUGAGAGGCAUGGGCAUCAGGUUGCUUCGGCAGCCUUGUUGUUGGGUCAGGUGGUUCUGUGUGGGUAGGGGCAGCCCCGCAAUGAGGUGAGUGCAGACAUUUGCCAUGAGGGCUGCUGUGAGCUGCGCUGGACAGCACCAGACAGCUGGCCGGGAAAGUGCUCUUACGGCUGCUAGGUUUCAGGGCCAGAGAAGCCAGCAGGUGCCCGUGAGGUACCGGAGAAUGAUCCAUAGGUCAGAAUGACCUUGACCCAGAGGAGGCCCCUGCAGUAGCCCCAUGGUAAACCUAAGAUGAUUGUAUCGCUGCUACCCAUGUUCUCCCCAGCACUGGACGGGCAGCCGAGGUUCAGAGUCCCGAACUCUCGUUUCUGUCUUCCAGUCUCCCAGUCCAGGGGUGGUUACUUCUGAAGCCCAGACCUGAGUUCACCACGUGGUCCCGGGAGUCAGAGCAGCCCACAUCUGGUGAGAGGCAGAGACUGGGUCUGUAGGACAGCCCAGGGAGGCACGGCUGUGAACUUUGGGAGCCAAGGGUCCUGUGUCUCCUUGUUCUCCCAUAGCUGAGUUCCAACCGGGGAGUCCUUCGCCAUGCCCAGUGUUGGAGCUGAGCAUGACGGUUCAGCCGGGGGCCCAUUCAGUCUCGGUUUCACCACCUCCGAGAAACACCUGAGUUGAGAGAAGCUCGCCUGGGAUCAGAAGACAAAGCCCCACGGAGCGUUUUUCCUCCCUGGGUGGAGAGGAAGGGGUGGCGGGGCUCAGACAGAACACACGUUCAUCCAUGUGAGAUUGGAUGAAAACGAGCAGCAGGGUGGCCGUGAGCUGGCAUAGAAGGGCCCGGAGCCUUGGCACCCAGGAGGGCAUGAGGAAGGGUUCUGUGGACACGUGCAGGGAGAGGUGGCCCAGCCAGCUGGGGGGGUGGACGGAAACCCCCAGGCCACAACCCACUCCCCUGCCUCUGGAGAGUUGCUAUGCUGAAGACGGACAUACCCCACAAGUUCUGGAAGCUUCCCUGAAGGACACAGGGGAGCAGGAGACCUGAGGCGCCUCCCAGGCCUGGUCCCUGUGCCAAGGCCUUGGGCUUCACUCCACCCUCUCUGAGGUUGGUGCUAAGGUGCACCUUGGCCAGAGGAGGUCACAGGCCCAGAGCAGCGGGGUCGCUCACCCCAGGUUUGGGCCAGGUCUUCCCCAUGCCAGCCCCCGUGUGCUCCAUCCCCCUUGUCUCUUUUUGUGCCUCUGAGGAGAGAAGGGGGUCUUUCCUCCGUGUCUGCUGUUUCCUGUGGUACGGAAAAGGGCUGAGGCUGGGCGAAAGCACAACGCAAAAGCCUCAAAGCCAGAAGCCCCCAGCGUCCCAGGCAGCCCCCCUGGGCUGCAGCCUGAGCUCCCUGGGAGACCUUGGCCACGGGAACCCCCAGCAUGGCCAUUCCUGGAGCUGGAGGUCAGAGACUCACCUAUGAUUUACAGAAACAAGCGGGCUCAGGGCCGGAGAAGCAGGGGCCAUUCUGUGGAGAUGGGGUUCAAGUGCACGGCAGGCUGCCUCGAGGGGACAUGGAAUGGUCCAGCCCAUGCCGCCCCUGAGCUGAGCACUUGGCAAGCAGUGUCCCAGACCCUCAACAAGGAAGCUGAGGCUGAGGCAGCUCUGGGUGCUGCCCGAGGCUGUAUCGUUGGCUCCUUCAGCCGUGCAGAGCUGGGCUCAGAUCCGGGUCUGUGGGACCCCUGUGCCUGGGCUCCCAGCUUUGAGAAGGAGGUGGGAAAUCACUCCCUGGCCGCCUUCUCUGGGCUUUGCUUUCUCCGUCCCCAAAGCCAAGGAUUUGGACUGUGGAGCGGGACCCGGGCCAACCCCAACCAGGCGCCAGCCCUCCAGGUGGGGAGGGGGGUUGCAUGCCCGCUUCCUCUGCUCCUCAUCCAGCUCCCCAAGAAUAACCUCCCCAAGAGCAAUGAUUGGGGGGCAGGGGGGUAAAGAGCCUUUUCUCCAAACGGCAGUGAACAUACGCAGCGCUGACACAGCAGGUGCAGUGCUGUUCGUUAUGCCACGGAGACUAACAGAGAUGCCGGCCCCGUGCCUCUGGGCUGGCAGCAGUGUGCUCAGAAGUGGUGCCAGGGGUCCAGACGAGAGCACAGCUGUCCCCUCCCCAACCUGGGAGGCAGACAGGAGCCACACAGCCAAGGGCCCCUCCUCAGCUCUGAGCCAAGUGGCUCUUUGGACAGGGCUCUGUGGCAGCUGUUCUGGGGGCUUUUCUGGGCAGUCUGGAUGGGUCACCUCCGGGGCCAGGCGUGGGCAGCAACUGGACACAGUAAACCUACUGUGUGCCGGGCUCUGCUGUGGGUGUAAGCUCAGCGUCAAAGCCACAAACCCGUCACAGCCCCCACAGCUCUGUUUUCUGGAGUCUAGUGUGCCUGGCUUGGAGUGGGGCACAUGGCUGGGUCACCACGGAUAACGCCCUUGCCUUCUGUGAGCCUCAGUUUGCACAUCUGUGAAAUGGGGGUACUGAGGGCUGUGAUGCUGCAGGCAAAGCACGCCUCCUCGCCACCCCGGGGCUCAGAGCUGGAGACGGCACAGACCCCGUGGAGGCCACACAGCAGGGGUGAGCGUGGCAACCCGCAUCAGCCUCGUGUGCGUCCUGGGAGUUAAAGUCUCGCUCAGACCCCCGACUCACUUCUAUCAGCUCUGACUCCAUCCCUGUCUCGCUGGACCCAGGAAGCCGUUUGUUUGGGUUUUCAUAGGCUAGAGAAAGUCAGGACACCCCCUUCAGACACCCCCAUGACCCACAUGGAUAAACUGAGGCCUCCAGAGGCUCCCCAGGUCCUGCAGGUGCUAGGACCCAGAGCGUCUCACCCCUGGCCCUCAGCAGCCCGGCUCCAUGGCUGAGAAAUUAUUAAAUAGAGUUGGUGGAAGGACUCUGGUUGCCAUGACAACAGAGCCUGUGUCCUUGGAGAUAAUGGCAUUGCACAGGUGGGGCGAUGCACCGUGAAUGCUGAUGCGGGAGCCGCUGGCACGCGGAGGGGACUGUGUCCUGAGGGGCAGGCCAGGGGCCCGUGGCAUGGGCGGCCUGUGGGACGCUUGCCUUGUCUGGUCGCAGGGCCCGGGCUCCCCCUGCAGCAGGGAAGGCCUGAAAGGAGGCUGGACCCGUGCAGCGGGGCUGGCACUGGGAGCACCCGAAUUCUGGAAAGACUUGGGGAGCAGUGAUGAGGCCAGCCAGCCAGAAGGGGACACAGCGUGGCCUGGUGGCCCAGACCGUCCACUCCAGAGCCCAAGGCAUGGCCCUACCCACCUACCCCCUCUCUGUCACUGUCUGCCCGGGCCCUUGUCCUUUGCAUCUGCACAGUGGGGUUGAUACCAGCACCUGCCCCGUAGGCCCUGUCACGGCCAUCACUCAGGGGCAGUGGAUCUUGUUGCUAACCAAGGAGGGGGACUAGAAGCACCACUCAUGGCCACAAGUGGGCUUGUGAUGGGCACAGCUGGACGAGUGCGGGAAGCUAGAAGAUGGACAAGAAAAUGCAGGUCCCUGUGACGGGCGGGUCUCAGUGCGCGUGUGUGGUCCCUGCAAACCCCCAACAGCUGCGCACAGCAGCAGGGUUUUCUCUUUCCUAGCUGCAAACCCUCCCUUGUGGAAGACAGCGUUGCACUCAGGCCCUUCCUGUGCCAGACCUGCCCAGCUGGCCCACUGUGGGCAGCGCCCUUGGCAGGGACUGGACUGGGUUAACACCCAGAGAAACCCCAAAGUGAAUCAUUUGCAUGCUGGCCAGGGAGGCAGCUGGCUGUGGACCCCUGGCCCCAUUUUAGAAGCAGAAGGAGGGUACAGGACUCAGUGCUGGGAGCUGGGGGCCUGGCGGUUGAGAUGCAAGCAACCAUUUCUGUGUGCUGGCCCACCCCACAGCCAGUCCAGGGUCCCCUGGGCAGCAGCCACUCCUGAGGCUGAGGACAGGUCGGCAGCAAAGAGGAGCCUCCCUCCUGGGACACUGCUGUCCCCCUGGGCAGGACAGGGGUCAGGGAGGCUCUGCGUGGACACGUGCAAGCAGCUGACAUUUCACUGGGGUUUGAAGGAACACGCGUGUGCCCUGGGGGUCGCGUGUCAUGAGUGAUGGCUCUAAGAAUCUGAGCCGAUCAACGUCUCCCGGGGACUCACUCCACCGUCGCCUGUCUUGAUGGAGCUGGCGUUCUGCCCACAGCUUUUCCCCACCUCUGUCUGAGAAGCAGUGAUGCUAGCACCGGUCAGGCGGUCUUUGCCAUGGCCCAGCUGCUGCUGCACCCAGCACGCACGUUCUUCCACUUCGUCCUCAUAGCUCUCAAGGUAGAUUGUGAUCAUCUCUGUUUCUGGCAGAGCUGGGAUUCGAACCCAGGUCUCCUGGUCUUCAGGCCCUGCCCUCCCCUGCCAUUGUCAGGGUUCCUGAGGACCCUGACAUGCCGCUGAGCAGGAGGCGUGCCCAGGUUUGCUCGUCCGACGCGGGACUUCGAAUUUUCUCAGCAGAAGUCUGGUUUUGCUUCUUACUACCUAGGACUUUUCACUCUGUAAGGGUGGGGGGCUCUCACCCUGUAGAAUUCUCCUGUAAGGGGGGCUCUCACCCUGUAGAAUUCUCCUGUAAGGGGGGCUCUCGCCCUGUAGAAUUCUCCUGUAAGGGGGGCUCUCGCCCUGUAGAAUUCUCCUGUAAGGGGGGCUCUCGCCCUGUAGAAUUCUCAAAAGCUCAGUGAAUGAAGCGAGAACAGCUGUGCUGGCAGAAGUGAGCACUCAUUUGAGUCUUUUAAAAAUAAAACUGGCUUCCUCUCGUGGGAAAAUAUGUUCGCGCCUGGAGCGUGACCCUUCGGCAGCUCUGAAACCCAUGCCCUUCCCAUUCUCGCAAAAUAUUCUAAGGCCGCAUCUCUCAUGUUUUCCUUAAGCCAAUAGAAUUUUCCUUAAGAGAACAGGAGGAGUUUUUUGUUUUCUAGAUACAAAAUUGGUGAUGCUGAACCUGCGUUUCCAAACCUCAUCACUGCUAGGUGUGUGAGAUACGCGGGCUUCGCAAAGUUCAAGGAAAAUGCGCGUUAUCUUCCCUUGCACUCGGAGUUGCCUCACCUGUGGUCCCCCACAAAGGGGCCCUGCUCAUGUCAUUCUCCCACUCCCCUGAGUAGUGGAGGUGGCUCUGUCCUGGCCUGUAGACUAGAAGCUGUCGAGGGCCGGGCAAGACCCCCGAUGAGGUGGGAUGUCAGUGGCUGGCUGACGGUGCCCGUGGGACUUUGCUAAGUGGUGCAGCCCCACGCCCCCGGUCCAGGCUGCCAGUUCAAGCUUUAAAACUGUCAGCCGGGGGCCAGUGUUGUGAUGUAGCUGAUGAAGCCACUGCCUGUGAUGCCAGCAUCCCAUGUGGGCACCGAUCUGUGUCCCACCUGCUCCACUUCCAAUCUAGCUCCCUGCUAGUGGCCUGGGAAAAGCAAUGAAGGACAGCCCACAUGUUUGGGCCCCAGCCACCUUGUGGGAGCCCUGUAGGAAGCUCCUGGCUCCUGGCUUUGGCCUGGCUAAGCCCUCACUGUUGUGGCCACUUGGGAAGUGAACCCUCCCCCACCUCUCUCAAAAUAAGUAAAUUUUUUUUGACAGGCAGAGUGGACAGUGAGAGAGAGAGACAGAGGGAAAGGUCUUCCUUUGCCGUUGGUUCACCCUCCAAUGGCCGCCGUGGCCAGCGCGCUGCGGCCAGCGCACCGCGUUGAUCCGAUGGCAGGAGCCAGGUGCUUCUCCUGGUCUCCCAUGGGGUGCAGGGCCCAAGCACUUGGGCCAUCCUCCACUGCACUCCCUGGCCACAGCAGAGAGCUGGCCUGAAAGAGGGGCAAGUGGGACAGAAUCCGGCGCCCGGACCGGGACUAGAGCCCGGUGUGCUGGCGCCACAAGGCAGAGGAUUAGCCUAUUGAGCCAUGGCGCCAGCCUAAUAAGUAAAUCUUUAAAAAAAACAUUUCUCAGCUGCACACAUCUGGGCACUGGCUCUCAUUUAAGAUGUCUGGUGUGACCACAUGUCGCCAUCUUGCUCUGUCUGGGCCUCGGUGAGUUGUUCUCUAGAGUGGGGCCGGUGACACCUGCAGAGCUGUCGAGGGACAGAAGUGGAUGCUGGGUGGAUGCCAUGGAGCUGUGUGCGGCCACCACAGGGCACAGAGAGGGUGCUUGGCCGAGGCUGCACCUGCAUGGUGACUCGGGACAGCUCCUGUGGCCAGCUGCUGGCCCUGACAGGAGCAGCUGUCGUGUCUCUUUCCCGGAUCUGAGCUCUUACAAGGCCCUGACCCCGAGCCCUUGGGAGCCCUUCAGGCACGUCUCAAACAAGAACGAGUGGCUUCCUGCACGUGUGUGUGCACAGGCGGAGAGCCGUGGCCCAGAAUGCCAAGCAGGCUUCACGGUGCUCUGCCUUCCUGAUCAGAAUUCAGGGUUUCUGGCCGGCUGGACUCUGCAGGCCGGAGGCUAGAAGCGGCAGGGAACCUGGGACACGCGGUGGGGGUGCAGGGCCGGAGAUGUUCUCCUGUUCUCUGGGGCUCCUGUGGUGCCCAGAGCAGGUUCAUUCUGAGUCAGCGCCUUGAGGUGGUUUGGCAAGGAUGAAGUUAAUGGGCUGGCCUGCUACCGACCCAGCAGAAGGAGGGCAGUGAGAGAGGCCCUGCAGCCUGGGUUCGAAUCCCGGCUUCUCCGCCACCUGUGCCCUUGAACUCUGCACGCUAAAGGGCAAGCCCCUGCCUCCUGGCCUUGUCACAGGGGUCGGUCAGUGGGAGACGCAGCCUGGCACUGCUUGUGGGCACCCACAGCACGCAGCUCCCCCCUCCCCCGGGGCUCACCGCCCUGUCCCCCUCUCACCAUGCUUUUCCCUGGAUUCCUUGUCUGACUCCUCACCUGGGAAGAGACAGGUAGUGAAGCAGCACCUUGCCAGCCACUCGCAGCUGAGCCAUCGUCAUGGAACCUUGGACCAGCCCUGGGGGUGGGGAGGGUCCUUAAACCCCAGAAAACAGCAGAUGCUGCCACUGCCCAGGAGACCCACGGUGUCCUCUGUCGCAAGGGCAGAGCCAGGAGAGCACCUCUUACCUGGCACCGUGUGACCUCCGUGGGGGAAACAGCACCUGGGAGACCCCAGCCCCAGCCGCGCAGAGGCAGCAGAACAGCUGGGGAGGUGGGAUGGGAGGAUUUGUGGUUGGGGCAAAGGGGAGGGCGCAUGCACUGUGGCCCGGCCCCCUUGCCGCCACCUGCGCGCUCGGCCUCCCUGCCUCCCUCUGCACAGAGCCGCCCAGUGCCCUUGUCAAAGUGCAGUCCCAUCACAGCUCCCCCUUCCCAGGCUGCACUGGCAGCCGCGAGACCACCGGGGGCCCACAGUGGGAGAGGAGCCGUCGGGAACACGGGCAGCACUUGCUCAGGCCUCUGUCACGCGGAUCCGGGCCUGCGAGCGCGUGCUUUAUCCAUGCCUGUUUCCUCGUCUGUGCCAUGGGGGCGGCACGAGAGUUAGAUGCCAUCAUUUGCGUUACGCCCUUCACAGAUCUGUUGUGAUCAUGGCUCCCUCUGCCUGGAGUGGACCGGAGUGAGCGUUCCGCUCCUGCUUCCCUGGCCAAGGUGGAAGGGAGCUCUCGUUUCUCCUGCCCCAUCUCUGCCGGCCCAAGGGAGGUGCAGCCCGGUACCCACCUGAACCCCUGCCUGGCCGUCCCCUCAGCUUUCCCGACUCAGCCUCAGCUCGCCGCUUCUCCCCCUGCACCCAGCCUGGGACCUGGCUCCCCGGAGGUGCUCGGCCACUGCUGGGUGGCUCAGAUUGGAAAUGGCCUUGAGAAAAUGAGGCAUGCAGCGGGGUGCUGCUGGGAAUUAGGGGCCAGAAGAGACACUCACGAGGUCCUGGGGUGUGAGCGAGUCACGUGGGAUGAGAUGAGAUUGAGGGAAGAAGCCAACACAGGCUCUGGAGUCAGCCACACCGCUCUACCUGCGCAAGGAAGGGAACCCAGAAACAGGGCAGGCAGGGGCCUGGCUUGAGAUCACGCAGUGCAUGUGGUGCGGUGCCGGGAGCCAAACUUGUGCCUUCACCACUCAGGUCAGCCCCCAAAACACAUCCCCGGGGCUGUGCCCAGCUGCCACAAGGCACGAGUGGCAGCUGCGUUGGAGGAGAGCUGGGUCUCCAAGCGGAGAGAGCUGCCCCUUGGGGACCCCAUUGGAGCCGCCAGCCCCACAGGCCCCGUGAGGGCUGCUCAGCUGGGAUCACGGGCUCUCUGCUGGCUCCCAGGACACCGUGUGGCCGCAGCCGGGCAGCUGCAGUGGCCCUAGUGGGGCGACCACUGAAGCCCCGUGCAGCAGCCUCUCAGGGGUUGGGGUGGGGUUUCUUGGAGGAGCUGUGUCUGGGGAGGGGCAGCUCCCGGACACCUUGAAUGUGGGGCUUGUUUUUCUGUGGGCACCUGCCAGAGACAGCAGCUAAGGGCAGGCGCACAGGAAUCCGGCUGCCCUGGUUCAAGCUGUGGUGCCCCCGGCUGGGAGCCUUUUACAAAGUCACUUUAGUUCUCUGUGCCUCGGUUUACCUUUCAGUACAAUAAGAGAAGGCAUGGGGAUUCACCACGUGUGUAGUGUGGCCCUGGCAUGUUGCAAGCGUGGCCGGCUCACCUCCUCCCUGCAUUGCGAGCUCAUCUAGUUCAUUCCGCUCCCCCUCCUUUGCCCGUGAAAAGCUGGGCCGCUUUUCCUCCGUGCGUGCAGCCGCGGGAGAGCUGGGGCCUGGACUCCUGGAGCCACCGCAGCUGCAGUGGACACUGCUCUCAGUGCCCGUUGGGCUCGGGGUGGGGCUGCUCCGUGGCCUGCUCCCUCCGCCACUGUGGUCCGGGACGUGCCCUGGACAACCACACGGCAGCUCCCAGGGACGCCCUGGAGCUGGGAUUUUCUGUUUCCUCCUCUGGCUCAGGGCAGGGAGGCCAGGCAAGUUGCUCCCCUACCCCGGGUGUACUGCAGGCAAGGUCAACAAGGUCAUGGGGUCAGCAGUCAAAGGGCACAAGUCACCCGUUGUGUGCCCGUGUGACCUUGGGAAGGGCGUAUGACCUCUCUGGACCAACGAUUGUUAUUGCUUCCGUAUUUUUAGCACUUGCUGUGCUGGGCACCGUCCGGGCCUCACACAGUGUGGGGUGCUUCCUGGUGGCCCCAGUUUCUGACCAGGACCCAGAAAGAGAACACAGAAUUCACUCGAAGGGCCUUGGGGUGCUGUGCAGAGGGGCACCCCGUAACUGCAGGGGUGGAGAAGUGAGCGCCUCUCGGCUCUGUGGCGGCAGCUGGGGCUUUCGCCAGUCUGCUGGCGGUGAGAGUGUGGUGGGAAGAGAUGGCAGUCAGGAAGGGUCAUGCCACUCCUGCUGUGCGACACUGGGCCCGCCUGCAGCCCACUGCAGACUCGUCUUCUCCAUAGACGCCUGCAUGCAGACAGGUGCACUGGUGAGGUGUGGAACAAUCUGGACUGGGAGAGAGGUUGCCUGGGCCCUGUUAUGCAAGGGCUGAGGGUCCAAUAAUGGGGGACUGCAGCCAGACCCCAGCUGUCAUGACUGUCAGCUGAAGCCUGCACCCCAGCCCAGACCCGGCCAGCUUCUGAGCCUUCUUGAAACACUAGGCCCAGGAGACCCUCACCAGCUGCUCCUUCUCAUCAGAGAAGCACCUCUUCCAGGGAGCCCUCCCUGACCUCCAGGGCAGAGCACAGCAAGAGCCGCCCACAGCACCUGCUGUUCUCCAGCCAUGCCAGGCCAGCCGCACACUCGCUGCACCUGUGGCUCCUCUGUGCCUCGCAUUGCCCAGCGCUCCUCCAUGGCAGGGGCAUGUGCGGCCCCUCUCCCCUUCCACAGCAGCCGAGCUGUGUGGAUGCUUCCUGGGGAUCAGGCCUCUUCUCCAUGCACUCCCUGGCUUCAGCUUCUCACGCGAGUCCAUGCAGCAGGAGGGUCCACAUGUGCAGACAAGAACACAGAGACUCGGACAAGCUAUUGACCGCCCAAUUCGCGAGAUCGGAACCAUGCCCCAUGACAUAAUCCAGGUCGCCCCCAGAUCACGGCUUCAGAAGCCGUCCCAUGCACCUGGAUCACCGGAACCUGUUAGAAUCCAUGGCCACCGCUGCAGGUGUGACAUGGGGCCCGGGGCUCUGCCCUCCUGGCAGGCUCCCCCGUGAUGCCGAGGCCCUCCCUUGCUGCCCUGUCUGCUGAGUCCAGGCUGGCGGGUGAGGGAAGUAGCCCUUGCUUUGCAGACAUGGAACAAGGCCUGGGCGGUCCCAUACCGGUGAAGUGCCUGGCACACAGUAGGCGCUCAAUAGAUGCUAGCUUUUCUCCCUCAAUAGGAGCUGGUGUGACGCCCGGUACACAACAGAGGCUCGGGAAAGCCUGGCCCAAUUGGGAGAGCCGAGCUUUCUUCCCCAGCACAGAGAACAAACCGCGUUAUGUUCCUCUUCAGAAAGGAGCCAAACCCAAUAUUAAUUUUUUCUUGAACCUCAGUGUUGCAAAGAGAAAGGAGAGCGAGUUGCACGCUUGUCUCUGCCAUUUCUGCAGGGAGAACCAGGAGCGGAACAAAGCCCAAGUGAGCACCAUGUCCUGGGAGGGAGCCCCCGACCCCGUGCCCAGGCCUCUGGUUCUCCCGCCUCCCUCUCCUGCGAGCCAGAUCUGCUGCAUGCCCAGCCUGGCCGGAGACAAUGGCGGCCCUGAGACUGUGGCCCUGGCCUGUCAGCCCUGCCAAGGUCCACACCCCACACAGCCGCCUGCCCCCCGAUGCAGUGGCACAGAGGGAGAUGGUCCAGGGCGCCGUCCGCACGUCCCCGCCCCUGGCCUGUCCUCUAGCCCGGGGCUGGCCUCUGACAGCCCAGUCUCCAGGGAGGCCCGUGGGCCACAGCCCCAGAGCAGAUCCUGGGAGCUGCCCUUCCCCCCUCUGCCCCCAGUCACAGCCGCAUCAUCUCUGCCUUGCCCCCUUGCCGUGUGCAGCCUCCCUGUCAGCUCAGCCCUGCUGCUUGAACCCUCCUCCCCCAGCCCUUGUGGAAUAAAAUCUGAACUCGCCGUGGCUCCCGAGGCCCUGCAUUACCAGGUCCCUGCCCACAACCUCCAGCUGGCUCCAUUCCCCCUCGUGCUGGCCUGCUGCCACCCUGGCCUCUCAGAUGCACGGACCCAAUCCUGCCCAGGGCCUUUGCCCCUCCUCUCCAUGCUCCCAGAGAUGCUGUAUCCCAGAUACAGCCCCAAAUUCCAGCUGAAUUUUUUUUCUUUCCAACCAAGAAAGCAAGCCCAUGGGCCAGUUCUGACCCAUUUUGCUGCUUCUGAUCUAGGGCUCCGGUCUCCACAUGUUUUCUUUCUCUUGCAAAGCACGGACUCCCUCAGGGACUGACAGAGGGACUUCUUCCUACUUCACUGGGCCCCUUUUGGCAUGGGGAUUGGUCCCAGUGCAGGAUGGGUGUCGUCUGGGAGUGGGGGUGCACCUGCCUGCCUCCGUCUUUCUCCUGAGCUCCAUCCUUCCCAGAGGCCCCUGAUGGAGUCUCUUUCUGGAAGCUGGAUCUGGUCACGUGAUCACCCCUGCCACGCACCUGCAGCUGGGCCCUAAGUCCUCACCCCGGUGCAAAAGGCCCUUUUCUGCGUCGGCUCUCGCAUUUGUCCCGACCUGGGUGCUUUUUCCAUUUGCACAAACCUGACGAACACCUGUUCAACCUUCAAACCCCAGGGCGAGUGGCCCCUCACCUGGGCUCCUCCAAGCUGCCUCGUUCCUUCUCAUCUUCAGAGCCUGUGCACCACAGUGCAGUGGAUCAGCUACAGCAGAAGUGGUUCCCCAGAUGAUGACCUGGCCGGGGGAAGGCCCUCACCUCUCCACCUCUCGUGUCCUGUGCCGGCCCCGGCUCCAUGCACAGAGCAGGCCCCCAGCAAGCACUAGCUGACUCACAGCCUGCCAGCACCUGGCGUGUGUCCCCCAUGUCCUCGCUGUGUGAUGAGCGAGUGGCAGAGGCCAGAGGACUGAUCUCGCCUCCUAGGGUCGAUUAUGUGCGGUGCUUUGGAGGAAUUCAGUUCAUGGGGCCCACUCAAUGACCAGAGGGCCAUGUGGGCGGACUCUUGGCCUGCAGGAUGUUGUCGCCUGAUGAGAUGGGGCCAAAAGCUGCUGGGAGGAGGCCACGCCUCUUCCUCCCACCUGCUCCACCAGCAGGUAAAGGAGAGUCUCAGGCCGGCGCUCCCCGUGCGUGGCCGCAUCCUUGGAUACUAUCCCCAAAAGCCAUGGGCCCUGGGCUGCAUCUCAAGAAAGGCAGGAAUGACUGGGAUGGCGGGGCCCUGCCGCGAGCUUGCCCACACCUGCUUCCUGUGUGUCCUUUCCACCAGGGAGGGAGGGGCAGGGGAGACGCCCACGCCAGGAAUUCGGGGUCCCAGGUGUGCGCCUGAGUGCCACUGCCUGGGAGCUCUCUGGGUUGGGCACCCAGUCCCUGGCUUGCCGGGUUUCUUGCAUGGACGAGCUGGUUGGGGUGUUUUUCCCUGCUCUGCUUCGUUAUAGAAUCACUUUUCUGCGACUGACCAAGCAUGCAGAUGUGCCGCUCUCAGCCCCCGUCUGGCCCGGGGUGGCGGGCGAGGCCGCUGCAAGUUUGUAGAAAGAGGCCGGGCUCCCGUUCCCACUGGGCUUCUGAAGAUGCUCAAAGGUGCCAAGGACCUGAAUGGAACAUGCUCCAAAAAAGACUGUCGCCGUAGUCAUCGUCACUGCUGGGGCCCGGAGCCAGGGUGAGCGCUGUGGCUGCCUGUACAGGGGCUGCCUGACACCUGCUUGGCCUCAGCGCUUCUGAUUCUCAGCACAGCCCCAGGUGGGAGCUGCUUGUAUCUCCCCCACUUCACAGAGAGGUAAAGUCAGCCAGCCAGCACUCGUGGAGGGCAGACACAGCCAAGGGCCGUCUGACGCAGCAUGGGACAAGUCCAGGACCCCACGGGAGCACCAGUUGCAUCCUCAGCCUCUACUUCCUGUAGCUUCCCUGGGUGCGUUCCACGCCUUCUGCAAGGCUCGCUGCACUGGGGCGGUGGGACUCCUCACAGGGAAGCCGCAGGCCUGCACUGGACCUGGCUACGCGCUCCUGUGCUUGGGCCUUGCAUGCCCAGGAAGUCCCUGUUCACUGUCUUCCUGGGAGGAGCACCUGCUGGGGGCGAGGCAGAGAGCUGUGGCGGCACCAGGAGCCCCCACGCCGGAGUAAGAUGGGGAGGGGAGUUUGGGGCUGCAGAAGCCAUGUGCCACGGACUGGCUUUCUGGUGACGGACAGAUUUCCAGGCUCAUGGUCAUGGAGGCUGGGAUGGCCAGGAAGGGGGGUGGUCCCCGUGUCUGACGGGGGUCUUCUUGCUGUGCCAUAACGUGGCAGAGGUGGAAGGCAUGGUGAGAGCAAGGGAGCAAGAAUGACUGAUAACCAGCCCACUCCCAAGAUAACCAACCCACUCCUGAGAUAACCAACCCACUCCAGAGAUAACCAGCCCACUCCCGAGAUAACCAAUGCACUCCCAAGGUAACCAGCCCAGUCCUGAUAACCAACUCACCCCCAGGAUAACCAACCUACUCCAGAGAUAACCAACCCACUCCCAAGAUAACCAGCCCAUUCCUGGAAUAGCCAACCCAGCCCCUGGAUAGCCAGCCCACUUCUGGGACAGCUAACCAAGCCCUGGGAUAACCAAUUCUGUCUCGAGGAAACAUAUCCAGUCUUUGAGGUAACCAGUCCACUCUGAGAUAACCAACCCACUCCUGAGGGCAGAAUUCUCAUAGCCUGAUCACCUCUCAACCCUGCUGCACCAGGAAUUAAGCUUUCAGGGGCUGAACUGAACUUUGGGGGCCACUUACGGCUCAGGGAGCCCCCUGUCCACCUGCUGGCUCUGGGUGCUUCCUCCUCGCACACUGAGCCUGCUACCUUGGGACGAGAUGGGCAGAGCAGGCUGCCUUGGAGUCCCCAAGUCGCUCCGAGAUUCGCCCACUUCCUCAGUCCCAGGCCAGAUUCCCCGGGAAGAAGUUUGAUUGGCUAGCCUGGGCAGGUGAUCAGCCAUGGCCCGAGGUGAUUGGAUCAUUCUGAACACAUGAGAGCUGGAGCUGCCCCCCCCCCACCCCGCUGGAUCGUGGAGUGUUAAGGACUUGGUAGCUGAACCCCCAAAGGGAUGCACUUCAGCCUCUGCCCCUUUCCGGAGUCCGCUCCCCAGCCCCCCAGUGUCCCCCAGGAUUCCCCGGUGGGCCAUGGCGCCUUCCACUUCCUGCCGUGCUGGUGCUGGGCAGCGGCCUCUCACUCUGAGCUCUGAGCUCUGAGGCUCCUGCGCGCCCGCGUCGGCAUCUGGACGGGCAUCCAGGAGCCGCCUGUGGGCCGUGCAGGAGCUCAGACCCCUGGGUGCCGUCCUCGGGGCCGAAGAGCGGGACUGGAGUUCCAGGCUGGGCUGUGCGAAGGCGGUCCGGCUCCCCUGGAGCUCCGGGAGUGGACAGUGGUGUUUGGUAAUAGGGGCUGCACGUGAGGGCGCUGCGGGCGCAGCAGCCUGGCGGAGGCCACGGGGAGGCGGGCGGCGCCGGGCCCGCCCUGCGCUUUGCUUUGGCUCAGUUCCUACCUCUGCGAAGCCCCAGGCCAGUGCAGCCCCCACUCCUGCCAGUUGGUGCUGAGGGCCCCCUAGGUCUGUUUUGCAUUGCUGUAUCCAUGGAAAGCCCCUCUGCAGAAGUUAGGGAAAUAGAAACCGACCACAAAGGAGGGCACGGAAGCCACUCAGGCUGACCCCUGACCCCAGCUGACCGCACGGGCUGCUGGGUUCUUCUUCUUGCUUUGGUUUUAAAUGGGCAAAUUUGCAGGGAGAGGGCCGACGCGGGGUCAUUCAGAAGCAACUGUUCUGAAACCUGCUUUUCUCCACAAAGCAAGGUGCUCUUGCCUGCGUGCCCACGCCUUGGCUGCAGAGUGGAGAGAACGCAGCUGCGGUGGUGUUGGGCCCGGAGGCUGCAGCCCCACUCUGCUGGGUUCCUGUGUCUUCUGAUAAAAUCACGGAGCCUCCGCCUCUCAGCGCCCCCAUGGCCCUCCCCUCCAUGGCUGUCCCCGGGCCGCUGGCCCCUCCCCAGCAUGUUCCCACACCUGAGCGCCAGCUCCACGCUGCAAGGACUCGCUGCCAUCACCCUGGCUGGGGACACUCUGCCAGCCACGUGCACAGCCAGACACCAGCAGCUUCCUGCCGCCCUGUCACCCUCUAUGCCCCAGCCCUGCCUGCCCGCUCGCCGGCCCCCUCCCCUGCCUUGCAGACUGUCACCCAGGAGCUGCGUCCAGAGCCCUGUGAGAACUGACCCAUCGCAGACAAUCAUCAGGGUGACCUUGAGCUGCAAAGCUACUGUCCACGUGGACCGGGGCUGAUGUCACACGCCCACUUGCCAGGACCCCUGUGUGCAAACCCAGAGACAUGGCAGCCAACGGCAGCAAGGUGGCCAACGGGCAGAUCGCCACGGAGGUCAGCGAGGCCCCUGUGGCCAACGACAAGCCCAAGACCCUGAUGGUCAAGGUGCAGAAGAAGGGGGCAGAGCUUCCCGACAGGGACAUGUGGAAGGGCCACUUCGACUUCCUCAUGUCCUGUGUGGGCUAUGCCAUUGGCCUGGGCAAUGUCUGGAGGUUCCCGUACCUGUGCAGGAAGAAUGGAGGUGGGGCCUCCCUCGUCCCCUACUUCCUGACGCUCAUCUUCGCUGGAGUCCUGCUCUUCCUGCUGGAGUGCUCGCUGGGCCAGUAUAUGUCCAUCGGGGGGCUGGGCAUCUGGAAGCUGGCCCCCAUGUUCAAGGGUGUGAGCCUGGCUGUGGCCGUGCUCUCCUUCUGGCUGAACAUCACUACAUCGUGAUCAUCUCAUGGGCCAUCUACUAUCUGUACAACUCCUUCACCACGUGGGGUUUGGUCACACGACCGUGUCCUUGCAGACACUGCUGGAAACAGUGUGAUAACCCCUGGAAUACCGACCGCUGCUUCUCCAACUACAGUAUCGUCAACACCACCACCAUGACCAGCACCAUGGUGGAGUUCUGGGAGCACAACAUGCAUCAGAUGACUGAUGGGCUGGACAAGCCGGGCCAGAGCGCUGGCUGCUGGCCAUCACCCUGGCCAUCGCCUGGGUCCUGGUGUAUUACUGCAUCUGGAAAGGUGUGGGCUGGACCGGAAAGGUGGUCUACUUCUCAGCCACUACCCCUACACCAUGCUCGUCAUCCUGUUCUUCCGUGGAGUCACACUGCCUGGCGCAAGGAGGGCAUCGUGUUCUACGUCAUGCCCAACUUCCGUAGUGAGCAGCCUGGGGUGUGGCUGGAUGCAGCUACGCAGAUCCUCUUCUCCUAUAGGCUGGGCCUGGGCUUCCUGAUCGCCAUGGGCAGCUACAACUUGUUCCACAACAACGUGUACAGGGACUCCAUCAUCAUCUGCUGCAUCAACUCCUGCACCAGCAUGUUUGCCAGCUUUGUCAUCUUCUCCAUUGUGUGUCGCUCCCCCUCUUUGUGGAGGAACGACACAGGACCCCGCGCUGUUCUUUCGUCUGCUCGGUCCUUCCCGGGUUUGCUGCUGGUCCUUCCCGGGUUGGCUGCCGUCCCUCCACCUCCGUGGAAGGGCGGCUCCCCCUGCCACUUUCCCCACUUCCGUGGGGGAGCGGCACACCGCCGGCCGGCUCUCUCGGAGGCUGCUCAGAUGUUACCCGGAUGUUCCCCUUAGAUGUUCCUGGUGCAUGUUGUCUCUCUCCUCCUUUAUAGUCCUCUUCCACCAAUCCCAACUCUGCUACCCACACGCCGAGUACGCUGCUCUCCUGCAAUCAGGAGCAGGAUCAGCUCCUGCAGGUUAUUGGUCGAACUGGAGGCAGCUGCGUAAAAGUUGUUUACUCCUCUCCCAGCGCCAUAUUGUGGGAAAGCACAUGCAUAGAAUAAGUCUUAAUUCCAGUAACUUAGUCUAGUCCAAGUUGCUCCCCACAAUUGUGGGCUUCAUGCCCACGUCAAAAAGUCCAUUACUGAUGUGGCGGCCUCAGGUCAGCGCUGCCCACCUCGGGGCCAGGGGUUGGGAGUGGGGCUUGCCUUGUCCUCACCCUAUGGGUGGCAGAGCACUCACUGCCUGCCAGACACUGCCCCCUGAUCUUCCCAGCUCUCUGCAGUAGGUGCUAUGUCCCCAUGUCACAGAUGGGGAAACUGAGGCUCGCCAAAGCCGCCUGCCCAAGCUCAGAGCUCAAAAGGGGUUUGUGCCCAGAUCAGUUUGACUGUAAAACCUCUUUGUCUCCCAGCCACACUGAUGCUUCCUGCAUGGCCCUGGAUUUUGUAGGGGAAAAGACCCGCUCCUGUGCCCGGGCCUUUAAGGCUUGAUCUAACCACGCCAUGUUUCCAGCCAUGAUGCAAACUCCCUUUGUUAGGGUCUGAAAAAGCCCACUGCCCGAGGAACAACUCCAAGAGACUUUUUCUCUCAUGCAACCAGCAAAGGGUUAAAUUUAUUGAUCCAACAUGUUGGGGCCCUCUGACAAGGACAGAGGAGCAGUGAGGAACUACAGCAUAGGGUUUAUAAAGGCAAAAACCGCAAAAUCGGGAAGGGGGAGAGAAUACACGGUUGCUAAGCGGUUGCUAAAAUCUUACAAUCAGCAAUUAUGAUCUUAAGACACAGACAAAUCACAUCUUCAUUAUUAGCCCAGGUAACGCAGGUGCAACCUUUCUACUUUUAAGCUUGAGCAAUCAUGCUAGGGGGUUUUUGUGUGUUGCCAAGGGUGAUGUAGUGCACUGCUAUUGUCUGACUAUUUGAGAUCAUAGUUUCAGACUAGAGUCUCACGGUGGGGGGUGCUUUCCCAGAAUGGAGUCUCAAGUGCUCCAAAAUGGAGCCCCUACUGUCAAGGUGCUACUUCACUCUGUUUUAUUUUUACAGCUGCACCAGGAAGUUUUAAACCUGUAAGCUUAAGCUUAACUUUUUACACCCGCACAUAUACAAUUUUAACUCUUCACCUUGAGUCUGCUUUUAUCCUGGCUCCCAGAACAGUCUCUCCAGGUGGGUUGUGCACACUUAGCUUGCCUCAGUCUCAGUGCCCCAGGGCCCAGGGCAACCACAGGCAGCCUCCCCCAUCCCCAGGGGCGGGGCCAGCAGCAGGCAGGAGGUCCACUGUGUGCACAAAGGUUUCCCUGAGCUCUCUGGAGGGGACAGAGCUUGAUCCCCGGAGCACUGGGUGGGGCCUGGGGAAAGGACGUUGAGCUCCUGGACAAUGGCAGCUCCUCCCCCUCUGGGCCUCCCCUGGCCCCUACAGAGCCACACCCAGGCAGCUCCGAUGUCUUUGUUUCUCAUUCUUUGUUUCCCCUGCUCCUGGACACCCCUGCCAGACACUCAAACACCACCUGUCCUGGACACACCUCCCAUGCCUUCCCCCAGCCUGUGGUCCCCCUCAUGAGAAGGGUUCCCAACCAGUUUCCAGGCCAGAAACCUCAGCAAGCAUUGCCCUGUGCUCUCCCCUCACCCCAGCCUGAAGCCUUUGGCCUCCCAAGUGUCCCCGCAGGGGCCGCCUCUCUGCAUGUGCCCCGCCCCUGCUGAUGGCCAGCCCGCUGCAGUCCCCCACCUGGACAGUGAGCCCCUCACCUGCAGCCUGCACCAUGGCCUGGCUGCCCAGCGGUGACUCUGACGUGAGGCUUAGGGACUGGUGGCUGUGCUGGGGCUGGUGCGGGUACCCACCACGCUGCCCCUCGUUCUCACAGGCCCGGGGCUGGCAUUCCUGGCGUACCUGGAGGUGGUGACCCAGCUGCCCAUCUCUCCGCUCUGGGCCAUCCUCUUCUCCAUGCUACUGAUGCUGGUCAUCGACAGCCAGGAGACCACCCCUCUCCCAGGCCCCUCCCCCCCCAGAGGAGGACUCAGAAUCUCAGACCCCUAGAAUAUCCCUGAAGCAGCCCUGUGAACUGGCCAAGUCCAGCAGGGGAAAUGGAAACCCAGAGGGAGGGGACUCCGCUGAGGCCCCCAGGGUAGCAGGGGCAGCGUCAUGCUGGACCCUGGGCCACCCCCCCAGCCCUGCCGUCUGGGUGCUGCUCAGGCUGUGGCUGGUGGGUGGGGCCGCGGUGGGCGGGCGGCUGACCCCGCCCCCCUGCAGUUCUGCACCGUGGAGGGCUUCAUCACGGCCCUGGUGGACGAGUACCCCAGACUGCUGCACAGUUGCCGGGAGCUCUUCACGUCGCCGUCUGCACCGUCUCCUACCUGAGCAGCCUCUCCAACAUCACCCAGGUGGGCUCCCGCUGCUGCCCUGGGGCCCUUUCAACACCCCCUCUGCCUCCACAGAGCUCUCUGCUGAGCCCCGGACACACGGCACUGAGGCAGACGGCGUCCUGCCUUCCGGGGGCUCCCUGGCUGUCAGAGACGCAGAUGCUGAGAAGGACAGCGUAGGACAGAGCCAGAGACCGCAGCAGGCAGCCUGGCCUCUGCUUCCCGGCAGCCCCCCUGGAGUCGGGCCUUCGAAGUGAACACUGCCACUUGUUGCAUCCGUGAACAUGUGUCUGUGAACUGUACACUCACCGUGAACGACUCUCACGACCCACACGGCCACCCGUGGGCCCAGGAGCCACUGUGAUCUCGGGUUCCCUCACUCGCACUUGGGAACACCGGCUGUGGGCCACAUGUGUGACACUGGGAACCCAGCAACAGUGUGAGAGCCACUGCCAAGUCUACUCUCUUGGAGCUUGAGUUUCAGUGGGGACGGGGCUGACAGAUGAGGUGCCUGCAAAGUGCCAGGUGCAGUGGAGCAGAGUGGAUACAGCAGGACGGGAAAUGGCCAGCAGGGGGCCGGGAGGCCUCUACCUGGCACAGGGGAUGGUGGGGGAGGUCUCUAAGGAAGUGACAGGUGAGCAGGUGAGCGGAGACCUAGAUGAGGAGGGACAGCCAGGGAGGGGAGGAGAGCAUGGCAGGUGCAAAGGCCCUGAGGGUGAGGAACAGAAAGGAAGCCAGUGUGGCAGGGAGUGGAGCAGAGCCUUGCAGGCCAGGCCAUUUGAGUUAGACUUGAUUUGACGUCUCCCUGCUUAGUUAUGUACCAUGUUAUUACAUGUGUGCUGGGAGGUUCUCAGCAGGGGAGAGGUAGGACCGAGUCAUGCAUGGACAGACGGCGCUGGGGAACGGCCCCCAGGCCUGGCCUGCUCACGAGGCCCAGGCAGUCUAUUAUGAGCCCGGCUUCCCCAGCGGUGCUGGGUGCCAGGGGGCCCAGAUGUGGGGGGGGCGCUCUCAUGCUCCCUUCCUCUCACAAGGGGGCAUUUACGUCUUCAAACUCUUCAAUUACUACUCCACCAGCAGCAUGAGCUUGCUGUUCCUUGUGUUCUUCGUGGGUUUUUUUUUUUUUGACAGGCAGAGUGGACAGUGAGAGAGAGAGACAGAGAGAAAGGUCUUCCUUUGCCGUUGGUUCACCCUCCAAUGGCCGCCACCACCGGCGCGCUGUGCUGAUCCAAAGGCAGGAGCCAGGUGCUUUUUCUGGUCUCCCAUGGGGUGCAGGGCCCAAGCACUUGGGCCAUCCUCCACUGCACUCCUUGGCCACAGCAGAGAGCUGGCCUGGAAGAGGGGCAACCGGGACAGAAUCCGGCGCCCCGACCGGGUCUAGAACCCAGUGUUCCGGCGCUGCAAGGCGGAGGAUUAGCCUAGUGAGCCGCGGCGCCGGCCCCUCAUGUUCUUUGAAUGUGUCUCCAUCUCCUGGUUCCACAGUGAGCCUCCACCCCUGCUCCUUUAUUCAUUCAUUCAUUCACUCAUUCGUCAUUCAGCAGAAGCAGCUGGGACAGCAGGCCCUCUCCCUGCACUGUUCAAUCCCUGUGCUCACACAGCUCAGCGUGGUGGGUGCACCAGUUCCGUGUGCAGAAGACAGAGCAACAGUUAGGGUGUGGGCAUGCGACAGAGAGGCUAAGGGGCUGCGUGGACACCCGUACGUAUUAGGGUUCAAGACUGGGCUCCAUGUCCAGUUCUAGCUUCCUGCCAACGUGCACCCCGGGGAGACAGCUGGUAAUGGUGCAGGGCUUGGGUCCCUGCUGCCCAUGGCGGGGGGGGGGGACCUCUGCUGAGUUCCAGGUUCCUGGCUGAGGUCGCACCUUGCCCCCACUGCUAUGCACAGGGAAGACUCCUGUCCAUCACUCUGUGUCUUUAAAAUACAUACGACUCCACGGAGAACAGAUAAAUACUUCAUGUAAGCAGGGAGCCAACUAGUGUCCGUUGUGGGAUAAAAAGUCUUGUUUCACGUCGGAUCUGUAAAACGGGAGACGGAAGUAUAGAGCUGACAUCAUCCGCCUGACAAAAGCUGCCAUGAUGGAAAGCCUACAUCGUCCCUGGGGGGAAAAAACGAAGGAACCAGGGUUUCCUUUCCGUCGUGCCCCAAAUCUCCGGAGCCCAGGGCCCAAGGGUCCGAGGCCGCCCCUCCUGCCUCUCUGCUGGACCAGAGAGCCCAGAGCGUGGACGGAGAUGGGCAGCGCCACAUCCCCCAGCGCUCGCCCGGUCUUGCUUCCACCCCGACCCGACCCAGACCACCAGCCUCCGGGACUUCGCAUGCGCAGUGCUCCCUUGGAGAACUUACUCUCGCGAGGCCUAGGGUUCUCGUAGUCAUGCGCAGAUCUCCGCGGUGGGCUGCACUUCCGGCCCGCCCAGCCAUACCUCGGAGGAGAGGCGGGGCCUGUGGGAGGGGACCGCGACCCCUGACCUUCCGUGGCCAGUGAAUGUCUCCACCUGCAGGGGGCUGGCUUUUCUCCCUGGCGCGCGUGCUAUGGGCUUUGACGGUUCGAAGGGUGCUGGGGGCGGCGGCCUGCAGACCCCACAGCUCAGCGGUGCACCCCGCGCUUGCGCCUGUGUCGCAGGUGUGAACCGUUUCUACGACAACAUCCAGGAGGUGGUGGGCUCCAGGCCCUGCAUCUGGUGGAAGCUGUGCUGGUCCUUCUUCAACCCCAUCAUCAUAGCGACAUGGAGACAAGACCCAAGAGCAAGGAUUCAACUUCAGUGCAAGAUUUUUCCAAAGAAGAUUCCUGCCAGGUUGCAAUAAUAGAGAGACUGACAAAGAAUAAUGGCUUGGAAACAGCUCUUGAAUGUGACAGUUGGUUAGAGAAUAUGCAAGGAAGUCAGGAGAGACACUUGAGAGAAACGUUCACCCACAUGAAUUCAUUACCUGAAGAAACAGAUCAUGAACAUGACGUUUACUGGGAGAACUACAGUCAGAAGUCUGUUCUUGCCACUCAAGACAGAGUUCCCAGAGGAUCCUUUUCCUUUCAUACACUUGAUAAAAGAUUGAAACAGAAGUUGAGCUUAAUGAAAAAGCAGAGAACUUUUAAAGAGAAAAAGCCUCAUCAGUGCAAUGAUUGUGGUGGACCCUUCACUUACCAUUCAGUACUUAUUCGACACCAGAGAGUCCACACUGGAGAGAAACCUUACACCUGCAGUGAAUGUGGGGAAUCUUUUAGCCACAGAGCUAAUUUAACAAAGCAUCAGAGAACUCAUACUAGAAUUCUCUUUGAGUGCAACGAAUGCAAGAAAACCUUCACAGAAAGCUUGUCCCUUCCAGUUCAUCAGAGAAUUCACAUUGGAGAAAGACCUUAUGAGUACAGCGAAUGUGGGAAGGGUUUUAACCGAAGUACACAUCUUGUGCAACCUCAGUUGAUUCAUACUGGAGUUAAGCCGAGUGUAAUGAAUGUGAUAAAGUGUUCCUUCAUUUAUCAGCACUCAUUAAACAUCAAAGAACUCAUACUGGAGAGAAACCCUAUAAAUGUCAAGAAUGUGGGAAAGCCUUUAGCCACUGUUCAUCCCUUACUAAGCACCAGAGGGUUCAUACCAGGGAAA